rnacentral:rRNA from 1 species
CCUACGGGUGGCAGCAGUGAGGAAUAUUGGUCAAUGGGCGGAAGCCUGAACCAGCCAAGUAGCGUGCAGGAUGAAGGCCCUACGGGUUGUAAACUGCUUUUAUACGGGAAUAACGCGCCUUACGUGUAGGGCUUUGCAUGUACCGUAUGAAUAAGGACCGGCUAAUUCCGUGCCAGCAGCCGCGGUAAUACGGAAGGUCCGGGCGUUAUCCGGAUUUAUUGGGUUUAAAGGGAGCGUAGGCCGCAUGUCAAGCGUGCUGUGAAAUGUUCGGGCUCAACCCCGGGGCUGCCGUUGAAACCGGAGCGCUAGAAUUCCGAUGCCGUCGGAGGAAUGUGUGGUGUAGCGGUGAAAUGCAUAGAUAUCACACAGAACACCGAUUGCGAAGGCAUCUGACGAAUCGGAGAUUGACGCUGAUGCACGAAAGCGUGGGUAUCGAACAGGAUUAGAUACCCGGGUAGUC